rnacentral:rRNA from 1 species
UACAGAGGGUGCAAGCGUUGUUCGGAAUUAUUGGGCGUAAAGCGCGUGUAGGCGGCAUUGUAAGUCGGGUGUGAAAGCCCUCAGCUUAACUGAGGAAGUGCGCCCGAAACUGCAGAGCUUGAGUGCCAGAGAGGAUGGCGGAAUUCCCCAAGUAGAGGUGAAAUUCGUAGAUAUGGGGAGGAACACCGGUGGCGAAGGCGGCCAUCUGGAUGGUAACUGACGCUGAGACGCGAAAGCGUGGGUAGCAAACAGG